GAUUAUUUGCUAGAAUGUGAUGAUGAAGUAGAAAAAUGGAGAGGUAUUUUGAGCUAGAAUGUGAGGGAGAUUGAUGUGUCAUAUAUAGUAUGCAUUAUUGCAGUGGUUUAAAAAUGAUGCUACCUUGUCUAGACGGUUUAUCUUAUCAAAUUCAAUAUGGUUUUUUAAAUUCAUACUUGUUGAACUUGCAUACCGUGUUCAUUUCUGCUAGGAUGUUCUCCGCCGAGCAGCAACAUAUGUCAAGAAGGAGGUUCGAUUCUACGAGAAAGAGUGGAUACGGACAUCGUGACCGUGUCCCCUUUUCCGUAGCAUCUAACCUCUUUCAUGACGAAGUGCGGUGCCGCCCAGCUGAGGACAUCCUCGCGAAAUGAUCACGGUCUUCAAGUUCAACAACUUCUGUAGUGGUAAGGAAAGAAUUUUUGUAC
rnacentral:lncRNA from 1 species